rnacentral:rRNA from 1 species
UUCCCCUAGUAACUGCGAGUGAAGCGGGAAAAGCUCAAAUUUGAAAUCUGGCAGUCUUUUUUUUCUUCUUUGGCUGUCCGAGUUGUAAUCUAGAGAAGUGCUUACCUGCACUGGACCAUGUAUAAGUCUCCUGGAAUGGAGCGUCACAGAGGGUGAGAAUCCCGUCUUUGACAUGGACCGCCAGUGUGUUGUGGUGUGCUCUCAAAGAGUCGAGUUGUUUGGGAAUGCAGCUCUAAAUGGGUGGUAAACUCCAUCUAAAGCUAAAUAUUGGCGAGAGACCGAUAGUGAACAAGUACCGUGAGGGAAAGAUGAAAAGGACUUUGGAAAGAGAGUUAAACAGUAUGUGAAAUUGUUGAAAGGGAAACGCUUGAAGUCAGUUAUGUUGGCUAGGGAUCAACCUAKCUGUUUUUUGCUGGGUGAAUUUCCUAGUCUGACAGGCCAACAUCAGUCUUGACUGCUGGAAAAGAGCAGAGGGAAUGUGGCACCUUUGGGUGUGUUAUAGCCUUUUGUCAUAUGUGGCAGUUGGGACUGAGGGAUGCAGCAUGCCGCGAGGCUGGGUUUCUGACCACGUUCAUGCUCAGGAUGUUGGCUUUUAAUGGCUUCAAUCGACCCGUCUUGAAACACGGACCAAGGAGUCUAACAUGCCUGCGAGUGUUUGGGUGGGGAAAACCCUUGUGCACAAUGAAAGUGAAAGUUGAGAUCCCUGUCAUGGGGAGCAUCGACGCCCGGACCUGAGCUUUUAGCGACGGAUCCGCGGUAGAGCAUGCAUGUUGGGACCCGAAAGAUGGUGAACUAUGCCUGAAUAGGGCAAAGCCAGAGGAAACUCUGGUGGAGGCUCGUAGCGAUUCUGACGUGCAAAUCGAUCGUCAAAUUUGGGUAUAGGGGCGAAAGAUAA